GUGGGGAAUAUUGGGCAAUGGGCGCAAGCCUGACCCAGCAACGCCGCGUGAAGGAAGAAGGCUUUCGGGUUGUAAACUUCUUUUACCAGGGACGAAACAAAUGACGGUACCUGGUGAAUAAGCCACGGCUAACUACGUGCCAGCAGCUGCGGUAAUACGUAGGUGGCGAGCGUUAUCCGGAUUUAUUGGGUGUAAAGGGCGUGUAGGCGGGACAGCAAGUCAGAUGUGAAAACCAGAGGCUCAACCUCUGGCCUGCAUUUGAAACUGUUGUUCUUGAGUGUCGGAGAGGUAAUCGGAAUUCCGUGUGUAGCGGUGAAAUGCGUAGAUAUACGGAGGAACACCAGUGGCGAAGGUGGAUUACUGGACGAUAACUGACGCUGAGGCGCGAAAGCGUGGGGAGCAAACAGGAUUAGAAACCCGGGUAGUCC
rnacentral:rRNA from 1 species